AACAAACGCUGGCGGCGUGCCUAAUACAUGCAAGUCGAACGGGGAAAGCUUUCGGGUGAGUACUAGUGGCGCACGGGUGAGGAACGCGUGGAUAAUCUGCCUUAGAGUGGGGGAUAACUAGUCGAAAGAUUAGCUAAUACCGCAUAAGACCACAGGAGCUGCGGCUCAAGGGGUCAAAGGUUUUUCGCUCUAAGAUGAGUCCGCGUAAGAUUAGCUAGUUGGUGAGGUAACGGCUCACCAAGGCGACGAUCUUUAACUGGUCUGAGAGGAUGAUCAGUCACACUGGAACUGAGACACGGUCCAGACUCCUACGGGAGGCAGCAGUAGGGAAUAUUGCACAAUGGAGGAAACUCUGAUGCAGCGACGCCGCGUGAGUGAUGAAGGCCUUCGGGUUGUAAAGCGCUUUUAGAGGAGAUGAGAAAGGACAGUAUCCUCUGAAUAAGCCUCGGCGAACUACGUGCCAGCAGCCGCGGUAACAC
rnacentral:rRNA from 1 species